GGGAGUGUGGCUUAGUGGAAGAGUGCAUGCCUAGCAUGCAUGAAGCCCUGGGUUCAAUUCCUCAGUACCA
rnacentral:tRNA from 1 species